UACGGGAGGGGUGCGAGCGUUUGUCCGGAAUCACUGGGCGUAAAGCGCACGUAGGCGGCUUUUCUAAGUCAGGGGGUGAAAUCCUGGAGCUCAACUCCAGGACUGCCCUUUGAUACUGGGAAAGCUUUGAGUUUCGGGGAGAGGUGAGUGGAACUGCGAGUGUAGAGGUGAAAUUCGUAGAUAUCUGGAGGAAUACCGGUGGCGAAGGCGGCAUCCUGGACCAUUACUGACGCUGAGGCGCGAAAGCUAGGGGAGCAAACGGG
rnacentral:rRNA from 1 species